GGUAAAAUAAACCGUCUGUGUCCUCCUGUCAAACGCAGCUGCGCGCUGGACUAAUCUGGCCUAAUCACAUAUUAAUUGCCAUCAGCUUUAACACAUUGCUCGUUAACCGCGCUAAUUAGCAGCGAUGAAAUUAGCAUUACUGGAGUCUAAUGACUGCAGGUGGAGAGAUGAACGCAGGGCUAAUGCGGAAACAGCUUCAGGGAGCUCGUACGUUCGAAUAAAAAGCCAAAUAAUAUCGUGAGGUGGAUGUUUCUGCUCGGCGAGACGGAGAGUUUCGUGUGACACAAGCUAUGCUACAUAAUGCACUGGCAAAUCAGCACACCAUCUGGCCUUAACCAGCUCUUACGGGUUUGGAACAACAUGUAGACAUAUUUGCUGUAUCGACAGCUCUUUGUUCAAUGAAAAUAAAAACAGCAUUCGGAUUUGUAGUAAUAGUUAUACAGACUUAAUACAUGAGAUCCCUAUGGGCUGCUGGCAGAUCUGAAUCCAAACCGGACAGGUAUGUACUUCAGCACACAUCCAAGCCAGGGAAUAGUAGUUUUAGCUUUGGAAAUACCUGACAGAAGAGAGAUUUUAGUUCUGUUUUUUUAAAGCAAAUAACAACUUAAACUUUCUUACUUCUUACUUCUCCCACUGAUCUGUCAUAUGGCUUCAGAAGACUUGGUUUGUAGAGUGUCUUUUAGACAGAUGGUGUCGCAUGGAUGAUUUUAUAUCAUAAAGAGCUCUCUGCUAAAUAAAAACACCAUUCGGGAACAGCAUAGAGUACAGAUUCUUAAAAAAAUAAUACUAAAAAAAUUUACUGGCCCUCAGGUCAAUCUACAGUGAAGUGAAUCUCAUUUACGUCUACAGGUCUCAUUUUACACCAGAAACAAAAAAAAUGCUAAAACAAAUCAAGCUUUAAAACAUUUAACACCAAUUUUCAUGACUCUAAUGCUUUCAGAUGAUUAUUUAUUCUCAUUAUUCUUAA